GUCUAGAACUAUUGACAAACAUCUGCAGACUAUAGACUAGUCACUAUUCAUUGAAAAUUCAUAUAGACCAAAGUGGGAAACACACAAUUUUCUCAUAAUUUUUACAGGAAUUUUAACAUUUCAAGUGUGAUUUCCUUCCUGGGAACGUUUAAUUCUAAAUGACUUCCAAUGUUCUUACCUCCUAUAGACAUAGCAUCAAAGGACCAAAUUCAACAAAUGAGCUUAAGAGAAUUGCAGCUCUGGACGGGCGGUGAUGCGCGGAAGGUGGUUUGAAGACUUGGCUGCUCUUUGCAAUCCGGGGAGGAAGGUCAGCAGGCAGCCUCCAGCCUUCUGUCAGCUCCCUCAGCUCCUGGCUCAAGUGCAAGAGCUAAGAUGACUUCCGUCCCUCUCUUCACAGAACAGCUUCUCACCAGUGACUGAGUCAUCAACCUACAUCUGACAGGCUACAGCACCACCUGCUCUGUGGCCUGAGGACUUGCCCCACUUACAUGCUUCUUCUGAUACAGAACUCCGUUCCUUCACAAGUGUGACACUGUCCUUUCACUCCAGAUUUUGUUUCAUCUGCUUCCCAGGAAAGAAACAUAGGAUAGGCCAGAGGUCCCAUAAACAAUAAUUUGAAACUUAAUUCUCAACCAAUGUCUUCCUUCUUUUAGCUGCUUGAUUUUUAGGUUGCUGCUGUUGUAAGCGACUUCAGAAUCAAAAUAGGUGAUUGACACCUUCAUUUCUCAUUGCUUCCCUUUAUCCUUCAAUUUGACCACCUCCUUUCUUGGUCAUCAUUCACCUUUCUCUGUGCAUGCUUAUGUAUCAUUUGGUUGAGAUUUAGCAAGUUCAUUUUAUUCAAAGGUACAACUAAUACAUGUUAGUUCUGAACAAAUUCCAUCAUUUAUUUCUGAGAUAUUCAUCACUAAUUCUUAUAUUCUCAUGAUCUUUAAUUUCAAUUUAAAAUAAUAUUUCUAUUUUUCACCCUAACUUCAAAUUCAUGUUUUACAUUCCUUUACACGGACACACACAUUGUUACAUAUACACCUAUCUACAUAAGCCCAUCCUAUGUAAUGUAUAUCAUAUUACUUGUAUGUAUGUCUUCAGAGCUGACAAUUUGCUAUUGGAUAACCAGUUGGUUGUUGUAAUCUUCCUGGGGAAGACUGUUUCUCCAAUUCCUCAUCAUUCCUUGGUUACCUAUAGUUCUUUGUAUAGGAUUGAAACUUCUGGGUUUUACCUUGUCCACAUUAACAUGCCUGUUUUUGUUCUCCUUCUUCAACUC